rnacentral:rRNA from 1 species
UCCUUAGACGUUCUGGGCCGCACGCGCGCUACACUGACCAGUGCAACAAGCAUCCGUCCUUGGCCGACAGGCUCGGGCAAUCUUUGAACGCUGGUCGUGAUGGGGAUAGACUUUUGCAAUUUUUGGUCUUCAACGAGGAAUUCCUAGUAAACGCAAGUCAUCAGCUUGCAUUGAUUACGUCCCUGCCCUUUGUACACACCGCCCGUCGCACCUACCGAUUGAAUGGUCCGGUGAAAUCUCGGGACGGCGGCUUGGUCGCUUGCGUCCGACUGCUGAAACUUGAUUAAACCAUAUCAUUUAGAGGAAGGUGAAGUCGUAACA